UUUACUUGCCAUUUUCAUACUCAUUUGAAUCACUUAGAAUGCAUUUAGAGUCAAAUUUGGUGCAUAGCAUAUGCAUGUGUGGUAUUGUAGGUUUGGUGAGGCUAAGUUGGAGAUAUGAAGGUUUGGACAAGAAAAAUGGACUUGAUGGAAUUUGAGUAGAUGAGAUGGAGUGAAGCUGAUGCGGCGCGGGCAUGAACUGCGGUCUCAAACCGUCCGCAAUAUGAUCCGAGAGACCCAGCCCGUGGGGACAAACCGCGGCCUAGCUUCGCGGCCUUAAGCUGUCCGCGGUGAUGGACGCGCCAAGCGACGCGGACGACGGGCGCGGGUCAAGCCAAGCCGCGGAAUUUGACCAGAGGCAUCAUGUUCUGAAGCGUGUACUGCGGCCGUGUAACGCGGCUGGGAGCCGUCCGCGGCCGUGUAACGCGGACUGAGGCCAUCCGCGGCCGAUGCCGAAACUGACUUGACCACUUGUUUUUCGGGUCAAACCCGGGCUUGUUGGGUUGACCCGGUUCGAGUUUUAAACACUAUAAGCACCUUCAAGACCUAUUCUGAGGAUCUAUCUCAUUUUUCUCUCAAGAACAUUGCCUCCUUUGUAAAAAAGCUUGAAUCUUUAUAUCAUAAUCUAAGGAAGUUCUUCAUAUUAUAUCUUGUUUCUCUUUCUCAUAAACAUGAUGAGCCUUGAAUCCAUCAUGGGUUUGAGCUUUCUCAUGGAGUUUAGAGAGUAGAUUCUCCUUGGAUUCAUGGGUUAAGGUAGAUUAGGGUUAUUAAGUGUAGAUUUAGGGUGUUUUAUUGUAGAUCCUUCUUAUUCCUUGCUUGUUGAGUGAUCUUAAUGCUAUUUUAGAGUUGGCCUC
rnacentral:lncRNA from 1 species